rnacentral:rRNA from 1 species
UACGUAGGGUGCGAGCGUUGUCCGGAAUUAUUGGGCGUAAAGGGUGCGUAGGCGGCUUGUUAAGUCAGUGGUGAAAGCCUGUAGCUUAACUACAGAACUGCCAUUGAUACUGAUGAGCUUGAAUAUACUUGAGGUUGGCGGAAUGUGUCAUGUAGCGGUGAAAUGCUUAGAUAUGACACAGAACACCGAUUGCGAAGGCAGCUAGCUAAAGUAUGAUUGACGCUGAUGCACGAAAGCGUGGGGAGCAAACAGG